rnacentral:rRNA from 1 species
UACGGAGUGGGCUAGCGUUGUUCGGAAUUACUGGGCGUAAAGCGCACGCAGGCGGCUUCUUAAGUUAGAGGUGAAAGCCCGGGGCUCAACCCCGGAAUUGCCUUUAAGACUGCAUCGCUUGAAUCCGGGAGAGGUGAGUGGAAUUCCGAGUGUAGAGGUGAAAUUCGUAGAUAUUCGGAAGAACACCAGUGGCGAAGGCGGCUCACUGGACCGGUAUUGACGCUGAGGUGCGAAAGCGUGGGGAGCAAACAGG